GGGCGCGGUGGGGAGACGGUGGCCGACACCCGGGCUCCGGGCGGCGCUUGCUGCCGUUUAGCGGCUUUAGCCUUUUGUUUCAGUGUCUGAGAAAAUGGGGCGAAAGAGAGCUUGGUGUGCGCGCGCGUGUAUGUGUGUGUGUGUGUGUGUAAAUCAGGAGGCGUUUGGCUUGGAGCCAUUUUUUUUCUUAAUUGUGGAGACAGAGAAUCCCUUAAAACGGUUUCCCCGGGGAGACCGUGCUCCUCCUCUUCCUCCCCGGCGUCUGGAUGGAGUGGAUUUCCCUCCCGGCCUCUGCCCACCUUCUCGUCCUCCACGCUGUCCCCCUCCCUCCUUCCCCUUCCUGCCGCCCCACCUCCGUGAACCCCCGAGCGAGCGGGGUGUCUGCAAAGCGGCCCGGUCACCUGUCGUGGCAGCUGCAUGGAAAUGCUGGCGCUUCUGCUGUCUGGUCUGUGCUGUUUCCUCUGGCAAAUCACAGGGAUUCCGCCCAGAAUACCAACCCUUCCUCUUUUCCCUGCGCUUCAAAACAAAGUGCAUGAUGCUGCUUCUGAAGUUUGACCCGCCUGGGCAAUUAGUGGAGAGAGGUGUCUACUUUUUCUGGUCCCACCACCUCAAGGUUGGAAAGGUGAGGGCCAUCUAGCUGAAAGGAGAUGAAGGUGACACAGUCCUGUCGGGGAUGAGUGUGGCUUACCUGCUAAAUCGCUACGGAGAUCAGAAAGUCUAGUAACACUUUCCUCCUAGUGGGCAGUCAGCUCCCUGUGCAGGGAGCUCUUCCCCCUGUACCCGGGGCUUUCCUCUUUGUAUUUUGCCGUAGUUCAGCACCUUAAGGGGUACCCAGUAGGCAGUUUCUUUAAAAAGCACAGUAAUUUAUUUCUAAGGUUUUGAAGAAUGUAGAAUUUCAUUUGGGGGUCCCUUUCUUUGUGCCUGUCUCCUUGUGUCUCAGACUUGGAUUUCUUGGAGUUUAGUUCUUGCAGGCAGGGCGCUGUGCUCCUGAGGGUGCUUAUCCCAGGCCGCUCAGCGCUGAUUGCCGGGCUAGGGGUCAAAUUGGAGCUGUAGCCGUCGGCCUAUGCCAGAGCCACAGCAAGGCGGGUUCCGAGCCACUUCUGCGACCUACACCACAGCUCAUGGCAAUGCCGGAUCCUUAACCCACUGAGCAAGGCCAGGGAUCGAACUCGCAACCUCACGGUUCCUAGUCGGAUUCGUUAACCACUGCGCCACGACGGGAACUCCUAAAAAAUUUAUUUUUUUAUAAUGAUUUUUAUUUUUUCCAUUAUAGCUGGUUUACAGUGUUCUGUCAGUUUUCUGCUGUACAGCAAGGUGACCCAGUUAUACAUACAUGGAUACGUGCCAUGUCAACCAUUUAAAGUGGACAGUUCAAUGGCAUGAAGUAUGUUCACAUUGUGGUGCUAUCAUCACCACCAUUCAUCUCCAGAACUUUUUCAUCUCCCUGAACCGAAACUUUGUAUCCAUUAAACACUAACUUCCCCUCCCCUUCUCCCCCACUUCCCGCUCCUGACAAUCACCCUUCUACUCUGAGGUUGACUGCUUAGGUCUCAUACCAGUGCAGUCAUACAGUAUUUGUCCUUUUGUGUCUUCCUUACUUCACUAAGCAUAAUGUUUUUAAGGUUCAUCCAUAUUCUAGCAUGUAUCAGAAUUUGUUUCCUUUUUAAGGCUGAAUAUGUACAUGUUAUAUUUUGUUUAUAAAUGUUCUAAGUUAAACACACUAAGUGUCAGCAGCCAAGGUAACCUCAUGAUGGUCCAGCACACUCACUGGAAAUUUAGAUUCCUUUGUUUAAUUAAAAUGGAAAAUCGAAUGAGUUAUUUAAUGCACAGUACCUAAAUAAAACGUGUUAUAGCCUUGCUGGAUCCUGUAAUUUCCCUUCCACAUGGUUAGUGAAAUAUAGUACAUCCUUCUGAAAUUUGCAGCUGGUACAGAUGAUGUUUUUGUUUCCCAGCUAAUGUUAUAAUGAUGGUAUGUUUUGCUGUAUGGAAGAGCAAUAAAGGGCUCACCCUGAGGUACAGAUUAUAUAGGAAUGUUUAUUUCUCCUUACCACUUUGCAACAUCAUGAGUUAGUUGUUUUGUUGUCUCCCUAGCAUCCGUCAGUGGUGGUGGAGGAGGGACCUUCCUUUUUUUUUUUUUUUUUUUGAGUAUCUUUAUGAACUUCUCUAUUUUAGCAUAUAUUAUGUGUUUUAGUCCAUUUCAGUUAUUGUCCUUUUGAUGCUCAAAUUGCCCUAUCUUUGGGCAUAUAGGCUUAUUCAGAUUCACUCUGAGUCCUUAGGACACACUAACCUCUUGUAGUUUCCUUGCUUUCUGGUAUAAUGAGAUGGUCAGGGCUCAUCCUGUAACCAUCCUAUUCCAGGUUUGGAAUCAGAACAGACCAUUUUUAUUUUAUUUAUUUUAUUUUUUUGUCUUUUUUUUUAAGGGCCAUUCCCACAGCAUAUGGAUUUUCCAAGGCUAGGGGUCUAAUCGGAGCUAUAGCUGCCAGCCUGUGCCACAGCCACAGCAGCGCAGGAUCUGAGCUGUGUCUGCAACCUACACCACAGCUCAUAGCAACACCAGGUUCUUAACCCACUGAUUGAGGCCAGGGAUUGAACCUGCAACCUCAUGGUUACUAGUCAGGUUCGUUCAUCACUGAACCAAGAUGGGAACUCCAGAACAGUCCCUUUUUAAAAGAAAAAAAAAAAAAAAA
rnacentral:lncRNA from 1 species